UACAGAGGGUGCGAGCGUUAAUCGGAAUUACUGGGCGUAAAGCGUGCGUAGACGGUUAUUUAAGUCGGGCGUGAAAGCCCCGGGCUCAACCUGGGAAUUGCAUUCGAGACUGAAUAGCUAGGGUACGGUAGAGGGAAGUGGAAUUUCCGGUGUAGCGGUGAAAUGCGUAGAUAUCGGAAGGAACAUCAGUGGCGAAAGCGACUUCCUGGACCAGUACCGACGUUCAGGCACGAAAGCGUGGGGAGCAAGCAGG
rnacentral:rRNA from 1 species